rnacentral:tRNA from 1 species
UAUAAGAUGCCUGAAUAAAGGGUAAUUUUGAUAGAAUUAAUCAUGUGAUAACUCACUCUUAUAA